rnacentral:lncRNA from 1 species
AGGGAGGCCGGGAGGGGUCCCUGGGCGGGGAGUUGCUGCGCAUCUGUUGUGUGUGUGCGUCUGUCUGUCUGUUCAGGUCUGUUUUAGGCUGUGUCUGCCUGUCUCUCUGUCUGGGUCUCUUUCAGGCUGCGUCGGUCUGUCUGUCUGGGUCUGUUUCAGGCUGUGUCUGUCUGUCUGUCUGGGUCUGUUUCAGGCUGUGUCUGUCUGUCUGUCCGGGUCUGUUUCAGGCUGUGUCUGUCUGUCUGUCCGGGUCUGUUUCAGGCUGUGUCUGUCUGUCUGUCCGGGUCUGUUUCAGGCUGUGUCUGUCUGUCUGUCCGGGUCUGUUUCAGGCUGUAUGUGUGUCUGCUCUUUGCUUCUGCUCCUGGCUCUGUGUGUAUUUCCCGGGUCCUGUGGCCCUCUUUG